UCUCGCUCACUGUUCUCCCUCUCUCACCCACUUUCUUGAUCAUAUCAGAUCUGCUUCCGCUUCUCCUUCUCCUUCUCGCUUCUCCUUCUUCCCUCUCCCCCUCACCCCCAAACCUCUCGCGCUCGCUAAGGGUUUUCGGUACCCCUUCCCACCCGCGCUUCCUCCCGCGACUCCUCCUCGCCCAUGGCCUUCGCAGCCCUAGAGGCCGCGGAGCCCCAAGGGAACGGCAAGAACGUCUCCAACUUCUUCCCCCAGGUCGUCAAGAACGUCGCGUCCCAGUCCCUCGAAGUGAAGAAGCUCGUCUACUUGUACUUGCUGCAUUACGCUGAAAAGCGUCCAAAUGAAGCAUUGCUUUCGAUCAAUUGUUUCCAAAGGGACUUGGGGGGCACUAAUCCUUUGGUGAGGGUCUGGGCACUCCGUACAAUGGCUGGAAUUCGUCUUCAUAUAGUCGCGCCCCUCGUUCUUGUAGCCGUAAACAAGUGCGCGAGAGAUCCAUCUGUUUAUGUCAGAAAGUGUGCUGCUAACGCUGUUCCCAAGUUGUUCGACUUGCGCAUUGAGGAAAAUACUUCUGCAAUCGAAGAGGUCGUACAUUGAAGGACCGGAUGAAUAUUUAUCACGUGCAACUUACAUUAAUAAGGAUUCACCGAAGUUAACUUCUGCAAGAUAUACAUCCGGGAAAAUUAAUGAUGAUAUUAAGAUCUUACUUCAAUGUACAUCACCACUGCUAUGGAGUUAUAAUAGUGCAGUGGUAGUUGCUGCUGCUACUGUACACUGGAUUAUGGCGCCAAUGGAGGAUGUCAAAAGGAUAGUUAAGCCGCUUUUGUUUGUCUUGCGAUCCUCUAAUGCCUCAAGAUACGUGAGCUGAUAAAUGUUGGGCAGAAGCAAGAUGCUCUGCAAGAACUUCACGAUCUUAUUACCUUGAAGAGAUCCCGAGCAUGGCAAAAUACCCUUGAGAGGAUUAUGUUCAAGUACAUUGAGCUAUGCGUUGAUAUGCGGAGGGGGAGAUUUGCCAAGGAUGGUCUGAUUGAGUAUCGCAUUGUAUGUCAACAAGUGAAUGUCACCUCUUUGGAGGAGGUGACGAAGCACUCCAUGCAAACCUUACAGGAGAAAGCAGAGCAGGCACAAGAUUGAAAGUAUCUUUUCAUAUAUAUCGGGGAUAAGCUUUGCUUUAGCAUCUUUUGUGCCAUAAGUGCAGUUGGCCCAAUAUGUUCAUGAGGUUGCUUAAGCAGGUGCUUUAAAGUGCUCAAGAUUAUUUAUUCUCUCAUUAUGUGUACUAUAAAGAAAAAUAUUUAUGUCAUUCUUGUGGAAAAUGUAGAUGAAUGUAUUUCAUUUUCAUAUUAUUAUAAUAUUUUGAUGAUAUUAAGUGCUUAAUCAAUGUUAAAUAUAAAUUUCAAAAA